rnacentral:rRNA from 2 species
GGGGAUUUUUCCCCAAUGGCAGAAAGUCUGAUGGAGCAACGCCGCGUGAGUGAUGAAGGUUUUCGGAUCGUAAAACUCUGUUGUUAAAGAAGAACAAGUGUUAGAGUAACUGUUAACACUUUGACGGUAUUUACCCAGAAAGCCACGGCUAAUUACGUGCCAGCAGCCGCGGUAAUACGUAGGUGGCAAGCGUUGUCCGGAUUUAUUGGGCGUAAAGCGAGCGCAGGCGGUUUUGUAAGUCUGCUGUGAAAGCCCUCAGCUCAACUGAGGAAGUGCAGUGGAAACUACAAAACUUGAGUACAGAAGAGGAAAGUGGAACUCCAUGUGUAGCGGUGAAAUGCGUAGAUAUAUGGAAGAACACCAGUGGCGAAGGCGGCUUUCUGGUCUGUUACUGACGCUGAGGCUCGAAAGCAUGGGUAGCGAACAGGAUUAGAUACCCUGGUAGUCCAUGCCGUAAACGAUGAAUACUAGGUGUUGGAGGGUUUCCGCCCUUCAGUGCCGCAGCUAACGCAUUAAGUAUUCCGCCUGGGGAGUACGACCGCAAGGUUGAAACUCAAAGGAAUUGACGGGGGCCCGCACAAGUGGUGGAGCAUGUGGUUUAAUUCGAUGCUACGCGAAGAACCUUACCAGCUCUUGACAUCUUCUGCCAACCCAAGAGAUUGGGCGUUCCCUUCGGGGACAGAAUGACAGGUGGUGCAUGGUUGUCGUCAGCUCGUGUCGUGAGAUGUUGGGUUAAGUCCCGCAACGAGCGCAACCCUUAUUAUUAGUUGCCAGCAUUUAGUUGGGCACUCUAGUGAGACUGCCGGUGAUAAACCGGAGGAAGGUGGGGACGACGUCAAAUCAUCAUGCCCCUUAUGAGCUGGGCUACACACGUGCUACAAUGGAUGGUACAACGAGUCGCGAAACCGCGAGGUCAAGCUAAUCUCUUAAAGCCAUUCUCAGUUCGGAUUGCAGGCUGCAACUCGCCUGCAUGAAGUUGGAAUCACUAGUAAUCGUGGAUCAGCAUGCCACGGUGAAUACGUUCCCGGGCCUUGUACACACCGCCCGUCACACCAUGAGAGUUUGUAACACCCAAAGACGAUGGGGUA